UCUACCUCACCGAGCACCACCCUUCAUCUCCGGCCAACGAAUCCAAGAAGCUUGUGGGUUUUCCGAAACGGCUCUCCCCUCCUUCAUCUCCGGCCGAAGCUUGUGGGUUUGCGAAACGUUGGCUGCGAGAUCGCUUUGNUUGGUUAAAAAAUAAUAGAUAAAAAAUAAUCGCAUUAUUUUAUGUACAAAUGAAUUUAAAAUAAUAAAAAUUAUCAAUCCUACCACUCACAAUUCUCUUUUUCACAGUAGGGGUAAUUUGGUAAUUUUACACUUCCACCAACCCACUAUCCUCUUAUCCCCAAAUACCAUCCAAACACUUUUUAUCCUAUCCCUCCUUAUACCUAUCCUUAUAUCUAUUUUCAUCCAAACACAAAAUUACUCUAAUCCUCAUACUUGUAUCUAUCCCUGGAACAACUAGUUCUUACUUAUCCCCGAACCAAACGGUACCUGAGUGUAUGUAUUAGGAUUAACCUAGUUUAAUAUAUUUUCCAUUCUAGUUAUAUGUGCUAGAGUGAGAAUCUGACUAAGCACUAAGGGUCCGAAGAAAUGAGAAACCAUUAGUUCCCCUCUCCUCUUCCUUUGAAAAUGUUAAAACGAGGUUGAGGGCGGCUGCGAGGACGUGACGUGUGAACCACCGGUUCCAUUAAUUAACGACUUCGAAUGGGGUAGAGAGAUCCGAAGAAACGGAG
rnacentral:lncRNA from 1 species